rnacentral:rRNA from 1 species
UACAGAGGGUGCGAGCGUUAAUCGGAAUUACUGGGCGUAAAGCGCACGUAGGCGGCUUGGUAUGUCGGGUGUGAAAUCCCCGGGCUCAACCUGGGAACUGCAUCCGAAACUGCCUUGCUAGAGUAUGGGAGAGGGAAGUGGAAUUUCCGGUGUAGCGGUGAAAUGCGUAGAUAUCGGAAGGAACAUCAGUGGCGAAGGCGACUUCCUGGACCAAUACUGACGCUGAGAUGCGAAAGUGUGGGGAGCAAACGGG